UAGGGAAUCUUGCACAAUGGGCGAAAGCCUGAUGCAGCAACGCCGCGUGCGGGAAGACGGCCCUAGGGUUGUAAACCGCUUUCAGCAGGGAAGAAAAUGACGGUACCUGCAGAAGAAGGUGCGGCCAACUACGUGCCAGCAGCCGCGGUGACACGUAGGCACCAAGCGUUAUCCGGAUUUAUUGGGCGUAAAGAGCUCGUAGGCGGUUCGGUAAGUCGGGUGUGAAAACUCUGGGCUCAACUCAGAGAGGCCACUCGAUACUGCUGUGACUCGAGUGCGGUAGGGGAGCGGGGAAUUCAUGGUGUAGCGGUGAAAUGCGCAGAUAUCAUGAGGAACACCAGUGGCGAAGGCGCCGCUCUGGGCCGUAACUGACGCUGAGGAGCGAAAGCGUGGGUAGCAAACAGGAUUAGAUACCCCCGUAGUCC
rnacentral:rRNA from 1 species